UACGAAGGGGGCUAGCGUUGCUCGGAAUCACUGGGCGUAAAGGGUGCGUAGGCGGGUUUUUAAGUCAGAGGUGAAAUCCUGGAGCUCAACUCCAGAACUGCCUUUGAUACUGAAAGUCUUGAGUAUGGGAGAGGUGAGUGGAACUCCUGGUGGAGCGGUGAAAUGCGUAGAUAUCAGGAGGAACACCGGUGGCGAAAGCGACUCACUGGCCCGAAUCUGACACUGAGGUGCGAAAGCUAGGGUAGCAAACGGG
rnacentral:rRNA from 1 species